rnacentral:lncRNA from 1 species
GAGGGGGACCGGGAGGACCAGGAGGAGCUGAGCUACCUCAACCACCACCUCGACGACAUGCCAGAGCGCUGCUACUUCACGGUGGUGAGCACCUCAGAUGCCGGCCCCCAACAGUCCCCCCACUCCCUCCCCCAGACCCUCAUCGUGCAGCAGACCCCCCAGCACCACGACCCCCACAUGACCCCCACAUCCGUGUCGGGGCGCGACCCCCUCAACCCAAGCAACGAACCACACAACCAUCACCACCACCAGACCGUGGUCACCUCAACCCACUCCCUACGGCACGUCACCUAGGAGGCCUCAUGGGUGUAAAGAGUCCCAUGGGUGAAUUUAGGGGUGUAAUGUGUGUACUAUUAAAGCUCAUGGGUGUAAAGAGUCCCCUGGGUGAAUUUAGGGGUGUAAUGUGUCUACUGUUGGAGCUCAUGGGUGUAAAGUGCACUCUGGGGGAGCUUGUGGGUGUAAAGUGUCCCCUAGAGGAUAUCAAGUGUUUUCGGAUCGUGAUCCGGAGUCAGGCAUCGAAUCGGGAUUAUUUCCCAUAGGAACAAGUUCCUCAUAUAACUUUGAUUGCGUCCGAAUAUCCUAUAAUGCACUAACAAUUAAAAUUAAAGUGAAUUAAAGUCAGAAUGCAUCAUUAGCAUGCACCGAAAGGAUAAAAAAGAUUAGCAUUGAUGAAAUGUAAAGCAUUGAUGAUCCUGUAAAGGACUUGUCGAAGCCACACAGAACUCCGACGAUAAACUUCACGCUUUAGAUCGCGCUUUUUAACGCGAUGUCGAACAAAAAGUGAUGUAAUCUAUGCAUUAUUUAUAUUUAGAUUGUUAGGCAAGUUGUUAAUGUGGCUUCUAGGAAUUAAUAACACUUGUUCUUGUUCUAGCACUGGUUGCCGAUGUAUAUAUCAGUUACUGCUCGCUCGUCCGUUUUCUACAAACUCGUCAACUAUUUUCUUCUGCUCACGAAGUUUCCUUGGACGUCAAUACGAAGAAAUUCCUGUUAUCCAAGCUGUUCAUGUUGCAUACAUUAUUGUUACUACAGGCUCUUCAUGCAAUUUUAUGCCCAUGCAUAUAUGGUUGUUAAUUCCUUAUUCUCGGUUUUCUCAGGUUGAGACGAAAUAUUGCAUGUUUAACGCUGGUUUAAAAUAGUUUAAGCAAAUUUCAAUCGUUUUUUAUGGCAUCGUUUUCUGCGUCUUUCCAGGGGAGACUACUUAAUUGCUUGGUAAAUUUCCUGCGGAUGAGUGUUCGUAUUAAACUGUGAAACACAAGGAAUUUGUUAAUGUUGAAUCACCGUUAAUGUUGAUAUGCAAGAAAUUCAUGUUUGUUCGUUGAUAUCCGUGCAAUAAUAUCGAUAACGAAGACAAUAACCCUUUAUCUCCUAAUGCAAUUAUUACUUAAAUAUAGACGCACAAUGGAUAAAAAAAAUUCCGACUACAUUGUUAUUGACAGACGACAACAAUUAAUUAUGCGACAAUACGCAAUAAUGUUAAUGUUCAUGUUUUUUAUAAUAAUUUUGCGUGUGCUGAUUGGUUUUUAGUUUCAUAACUAUAUUGUGGCAGAAGCAAGAAUAAGUCGUUAGAAUUACGUUAUUAGUUAACGAAGGUGAAGCUUUUCAGAGCGGUUCAUUUCAUCUCUUCCGUAUCGUUGAUCUGGCAUUUAGCCUCAGGAAUUAUACGAAAUCGUUAAAUUAGUAAAUUAAUUGGGAAAUGCCACGGGAUGGUUGAACCGGGCAAGUAAAUUGGCCGAUGUCACGGUAUGGUUGAAAUGGGAACUUAAAGCGAGCAAUGUCACGGAUGAUUGAACUGAGCAAGUAAAUUGGGCAAUGUCACGGGAGAUUAAAAUAGUAAGUUGUUGAACAACAUCUGUAAAAUUUUGAAAACCUACACUUCUAGAGACAGCUACACAUAGCUAUCUAGGACUAAUAUUAUUUAGGUGAUCGCUUAUUCAAGGCGCCUAUAUGUUUAAACCAUGCCUGUAAAUAUCUAACUAGAACUAGCGUUAAUAGCAACUAGAGAGGAUUAGGUGACUAGAGCACCAGAGGUGUGCAAUAAGCAGUAAUAGAACCUUAAAUAUAAUUACUAACCACUGAACAGGUCAAUAAUGUUUGAUUUUCAACGGGAUAUAUGGGAUAUUCUGUUCCCCGAAGAUAAUCAAUUACAAUAUGCAUAAUAUUUUACUUGAAUGUGCGUGAGGAAAAAGUGGCUGGUAGUAAUGGAAGUGACUGGACCGGCAUCCCAUGCAGCGUCACCAUCAUCGUUGAGGUCAUAGGUCCAUAACUAAACUAUUUAUUUACGUAUUAACAUUCUAACCGAUAUUGACAAAUUUACUUGAGUUAUCCACAAUAAGUUGGCAUAUGAGAGAAUGCUUGCUGAAUGUGUUCAGUAAUGAAAUGGAUAAUUGCCAUGUGUAUUUUUUUGCGUAUCUAUAUAGAAUAAUUUAUCGCGUAUAUCGCAUGUACGGCUGUUUAUUAUGGGCCUGUAUGCACAUGAGCGUGUUUAUGCUAAUGUGUGCGCGUUUGAGUGAGUGUUUAUUAUGUAUAAUGUAUAUAAUCAUAGUAGAUAUGUGUUGCAGUGACUCCCUUGUGUUUCUCAGAGUGUUUUAAACACUUUUUUGAGUUUGUUCGUUAUUUUCGAUGUCUAUUUAUUGUGAAUUUAUAUUAAGUUAUCAUUCUGUUAUUUUAUUUUGUUAUUUAUACCGUUGCCGUUGCCUACCUUCCAUCGACAUUGUAGAUAGCGACUCUGCAGUUACCCUAUACAUGUGACAAUAAACAUCUACCUGCAUGCUAUUAACAUUUACCUUUAAUGGUAGCGUCGAACAAACUAUCUGAAUGCCACCUGUGCAUAGAACCAGCUUUGUGGAUUUCACGGGAAACCAGCGAUCUGGUGACCACAUGCGGUAAGAACUAGCCAUCUGUGCACCACCUGCGGGAGAACUAACCAUCUGGUCACCACCUAUGGUAGGAACCAGCGAUCUGUACACCACCUGCUUUAGGAACCAACCAUCUGAGCACCACUCGCAAUAGGAACCAGCCAUCUGAGCACUACCUGCGGGAGAACCAACCAUCUGUGAACCUGCAAUUGAAACCAGCUAUCUGCACACCACCUGCUUUAGGAACUAGCCAUCUGAGCACUAGCCAUGACUGCGUCAAAACUUUCGCAAGCAUGGUUCACGUCUCCACUUCAAGGACCAACUUGUAACGUUAUAUUAAGGGCAGACUCUAGCAGUGAUUUACCGGAACGCCGCGCAGUCAUUCUUCCAAUUGCGUUUUUAUUUCAGUUAUUAAAUUCUCCCAGUGCCAUGUCAGCGCCUCAUCAGUGAGACUUGUUCAAAUUGCCCCUUUUUCCCCUUAAUUUUUCUGAGUGCAACCUCCUGAUAACAGUCUUAAGUGUCCAAUUAUCGCGUCGAUAUUGAUUGUACCCUGACCCUCUGAUAACAGUCUUAAGUAUACUAUACAAUGAUUAACUAAAGAUUUAGUGCCAAACGACCGUCUAAUUAUAGAUUUAAGAAUAUAAUAUUUACCCCGAGACGUAGUGCUACACGACGACCGUCUGAUUAUAGUUUUAAGUGUACAAUUAGUUCCAGAUGUGCCAGAGUUACCCAGCGACCAUAAAUUUGUGGCAAUAAGUGUGCGUCCGUAGUACUAAGUUUUAUGUAGGAAUAACGAUAUAAGUGCCAAAUGUGUUUUCUUUGUACGGGCACUUCCGCCAUCUUGCAGGCGUUUGACGCCAUCUUGAAUGCAUUUGCCGCCAUCUUGAAUGCAUUUGCCGCUAUCUUGAAUGCAUUUGUCGCUUUCCUAAAGUUGUUUGACGCCAUACAUAUUGAAUUUCAGCCACCACUCUAAGUGGUUGCCGGCUACUAUAAAGUCAAAGCCAAAUUUAUCAACAAGAUUGCCAGUCUCCCAUUUUCAAAUUUCUUGGAUUAAUAUUCAGUCGUCUUAAAUUGGAUGUUGCCUAUCAAAACGUGUCCGUCAGUUGUACCGUGUGUGGGUUGUCCACCAUCUGGAAAAAGGAAGAUUACAAUGCUCACUUGGAGUUUUAAUUCCUUUCUAGAUGGCUGGGUGAAAUUUUUUCUAGCUCUUCUGUGUGAAGUGUAAAUGCAAUUAAAUAUUAGUAUUACUAGUGUACCUAUAGAGCUUCUAUGAAGUAUUUGUCGAAUGCCUCUUCGCCAUUUUGAAUACGUUGAGUAAACAUUUUGUAUUUGUUGAGCCGCCAAUUUGUAGUCAAGAUUCACUUGUUGCAACGCAAUAUAGAUUCAUUGCUCAUCGAAUGACAUGAAUAAAUGAGCUCUAGAUCUCAA